rnacentral:tRNA from 1 species
ACCUGGCUGGCUCAGUUGGAAAAGCAUGUAACUCUUGAUCUCAGGAUUGUGGAUUCGAGCUCCAUGUUGGGUG